rnacentral:rRNA from 1 species
UUCGGAUCGGAGUCUGCAACCCGACUCCGUGAAGCUGGAUUCGCUAGUAAUCGCGCAUCAGCCAUGGCGCGGUGAAUACGUUCCCGGGCCUUGUACACACCGCCCGUCAAGCCAUGGAAGCCGGGGGUGCCUGAAGUGUGCAGCCGCAAGGAGCGCCCUAAGGUAAAACCGGUGACUGGGGCUAAGUCGUAACAAGGUAGC